GACAGAGGGGGCGAGCGUUGUCCGGAGUCACUGGGCGUAAAGCGCGCGCAGGCGGCAACCUUAGUGUCGUGUGAAAGCCCCCGGCUCAACCGGGGGAGGCCAUGGCAAACUGGGUCGCUCGAGCUGCGGAGAGGCCCCUCGAAGUGCCGGUGUAGCGGUGAAAUGCGUAGAGAUCGGCAGGAAGACCAAGGGGGAAGCCAGGGGGCUGGACGCAGGCUGACGCUGAGGCGCGACAGCGUGGGGAGCAAACCGG
rnacentral:rRNA from 1 species